rnacentral:rRNA from 1 species
CCUACGGGCGGCAGCAGUGGGGAAUAUUGGGCAAUGGGCGCAAGCCUGACCCAGCAACGCCGCGUGAAGGAAGAAGGCUUUCGGGUUGUAAACUUCUUUUAUCAGGGACGAAGCAAGUGACGGUACCUGAUGAAUAAGCCACGGCUAACUACGUGACCGCAGCCGCGGUAAUACGGAGGUGGCAAGCGUUAUCCGGAUUUACUGGUUGUAAGGGGCGUGUAGGCGGGAGUGCAAGUCAGAUGUGAAAACUAUGGGCUCAACCCAUAGCCUGCAUUUGAAACUGUACUGCUUGAGUGCUGGAGAGGCAAUCGGAAUUCCGGGUGUAGCGGUGAAAUGCGUAGAUAUACGGAGGAACACCAGUGGCGAAGGCGGAUUGCUGGACAGUAACUGACGCUGAGGCGCGAAAGCGUGGGGAGCAAACAGGAUUAGAUACCCCGGUAGUC